GCGAUAUUUUACAUUGAUUUAUUUACAUGUAUAUUUAACAAAUUUGUAGAUACCGAAGAUUCAAGUCAAGGUAUUAAUACUUUCGAUUACAUGAAGAUUACAGAAAUUAACGAGAAAACUAACAAUGAUUUGGCGAUAAUUAAUGAACUGGAAGCAGAAGUAGGUGUUAUUAUUCUGAAAUUUUUUUCAU